UACGUAGGGGGCAAGCGUUGUCCGGAAUCAUUGGGCGUAAAGAGCGUGUAGGCGGCCUGGUAAGUCCGCUGUGAAAGUCCAGGGCUCAACCCUGGAAUGCCGGUGGAAACUGUCAGGCUCGAGUCCGGAAGAGGCGAGUGGAACUCCUGGUGUAGCGGUGGAAUGCGCAGAUAUCAGGAAGAACACCAACGGCGAAGGCAGCUCGCUGGGACGGUACUGACGCUGAGGCGCGAAAGCGUGGGGAGCAAACAGG
rnacentral:rRNA from 1 species